UACGUAGGGUGCGAGCGUUGUCCGGAAUUACUGGGCGUAAAGAGCUUGUAGGUGGUUUGUCGCGUUGUUCGUGAAAUCUCACGGCUUAACUGUGAGCGUGCGGGCGAUACGGGCAGACUAGAGUACUGCAGGGGAGACUGGAAUUCCUGGUGUAGCGGUGGAAUGCGCAGAUAUCAGGAGGAACACCGGUGGCGAAGGCGGGUCUCUGGGCAGUAACUGACGCUGAGGAGCGAAAGCAUGGGGAGCGAACAGG
rnacentral:rRNA from 1 species